CCCUAGCCCCGAUUGAAGUGGAAAUCCUUUUUAUUGAGAGGAACGAACAAUAAAAAGAUUGUAACGGAAAGCGGGAAAUAGC
rnacentral:sRNA from 1 species